rnacentral:rRNA from 1 species
GCAUAUCAAUAAGCGGAGGAAAAGAAACCAACAGGGAUUGCCCUAGUAACGGCGAGUGAAGCGGCAACAGCUCAAAUUUGAAAUCUGGCGUCUUUGGGGUCCGAGUUGUAAUUUGCAGAGGGCGCUUUGGCAUUGGCAGCGGUCCAAGUUCCUUGGAACAGGACGUCACAGAGGGUGAGAAUCCCGUACGUGGUCGCUAGCCUUUACCGUGUAAAGCCCCUUCGACGAGUCGAGUUGUUUGGGAAUGCAGCUCUAAAUGGGAGGUAAAUUUCUUCUAAAGCUAAAUACUGGCCAGAGACCGAUAGCGCACAAGUAGAGUGAUCGAAAGAUGAAAAGCACUUUGGAAAGAGAGUUAAAAAGCACGUGAAAUUGUUGAAAGGGAAGCGCUUGCAGCCAGACUUGCCUGUAGUUGCUCAUCCGGGUUUUUACCCGGUGCACUCUUCUACGGGCAGGCCAGCAUCAGUUUGGGCGGUUGGAUAAAGGUCUCUGUCACGUACCUCCUCUCGGGGAGAUCUUAUAGGGGAGACGACAUGCAACCAGCCUGGACUGAGGUCCGCGCAUCUGCUAGGAUGCUGG